rnacentral:rRNA from 1 species
AGAGUUUGAUCAUGGCUCAGAUUGAACGCUGGCGGCAGGCCUAACACAUGCAAGUCGAGCGGUAGCACAGAGAGCUUGCUCUCGGGUGACGAGCGGCGGACGGGUGAGUAAUGUCUGGGAAACUGCCUGAUGGAGGGGGAUAACUACUGGAAACGGUAGCUAAUACCGCAUAACGUCGCAAGACCAAAGUGGGGGACCUUCGGGCCUCAUGCCAUCAGAUGUGCCCAGAUGGGAUUAGCUAGUAGGUGGGGUAACGGCUCACCUAGGCGACGAUCCCUAGCUGGUCUGAGAGGAGGACCAGCCACACUGGAACUGAGACACGGUCCAGACUCCUACGGGAGGCAGCAGUGGGGAAUAUUGCACAAUGGGCGCAAGCCUGAUGCAGCCAUGCCGCGUGUAUGAAGAAGGCCUUCGGGUUGUAAAGUACUUUCAGCGGGGAGGAAGGCGAUAAGGUUAAUAACCUUGUCGAUUGACGUUACCCGCAGAAGAAGCACCGGCUAACUCCGUGCCAGCAGCCGCGGUAAUACGGAGGGUGCAAGCGUUAAUCGGAAUUACUGGGCGUAAAGCGCACGCAGGCGGUCUGUCAAGUCGGAUGUGAAAUCCCCGGGCUCAACCUGGGAACUGCAUUCGAAACUGGCAGGCUAGAGUCUUGUAGAGGGGGGUAGAAUUCCAGGUGUAGCGGUGAAAUGCGUAGAGAUCUGGAGGAAUACCGGUGGCGAAGGCGGCCCCCUGGACAAAGACUGACGCUCAGGUGCGAAAGCGUGGGGAGCAAACAGGAUUAGAUACCCUGGUAGUCCACGCCGUAAACGAUGUCGAUUUGGAGGUUGUGCCCUUGAGGCGUGGCUUCCGGAGCUAACGCGUUAAAUCGACCGCCUGGGGAGUACGGCCGCAAGGUUAAAACUCAAAUGAAUUGACGGGGGCCCGCACAAGCGGUGGAGCAUGUGGUUUAAUUCGAUGCAACGCGAAGAACCUUACCUGGUCUUGACAUCCACAGAACUUAGCAGAGAUGCUUUGGUGCCUUCGGGAACUGUGAGACAGGUGCUGCAUGGCUGUCGUCAGCUCGUGUUGUGAAAUGUUGGGUUAAGUCCCGCAACGAGCGCAACCCUUAUCCUUUGUUGCCAGCGGUUAGGCCGGGAACUCAAAGGAGACUGCCAGUGAUAAACUGGAGGAAGGUGGGGAUGACGUCAAGUCAUCAUGGCCCUUACGACCAGGGCUACACACGUGCUACAAUGGCAUAUACAAAGAGAAGCGACCUCGCGAGAGCAAGCGGACCUCAUAAAGUAUGUCGUAGUCCGGAUUGGAGUCUGCAACUCGACUCCAUGAAGUCGGAAUCGCUAGUAAUCGUAGAUCAGAAUGCUACGGUGAAUACGUUCCCGGGCCUUGUACACACCGCCCGUCACACCAUGGGAGUGGGUUGCAAAAGAAGUAGGUAGCUUAACCUUCGGGAGGGCGCUUACCACUUUGUGAUUCAUGACUGGGGUGAAGUCGUAACAAGGUAACCGUAGGGGAACCUGCGGUUGGAUCACCU